rnacentral:sRNA from 1 species
AACUGUCUCCGUCGCAGGCUCCGGCGGGGGCGCAGGAGGUCGCCCGGCGCGUCACUGUCGGGUCGGCGAGCCACGGGGGCCGCCGCAGCACCAUGGCGACCACCGUCAGCACUCAGCGCGGGCCGGUGUACAUCGGUGAGCUCCCGCAGGACUUCCUCCGCAUCACGCCCACACAGCAGCAGCGGCAGGUCCAGCUGGACGCCCAGGCGGCCCAGCAGCUGCAGUACGGAGGCGCAGUGGGCACCGUGGGCCGACUGAACAUCACAGUGGUACAGGCAAAGUUGGCCAAGAAUUACGGCAUGACCCGCAUGGACCCCUACUGCCGACUGCGCCUGGGCUACGCGGUGUACGAGACGCCCACGGCACACAAUGGUGCCAAGAAUCCCCGCUGGAAUAAGGUCAUCCACUGCACGGUGCCCCCAGGCGUGGACUCGUUCUAUCUCGAGAUCUUCGAUGAGGUGAGAGGGACGUGCCAGCUAUUAUGGAGGCCGCACGUGGCUGAGCGUGGCUGCCGUGGGAACACGCCUGCCGACACAGCCACGUUCCUGGCUGGCUUCGAUGCGUGGCUCCCCACCUGGUGUUUCAUUGGG